rnacentral:rRNA from 1 species
UAAUGCGUGACCAACCUGCCCCAUGCUCCAGAAUAGCUCUUGGAAACGGGUGGUAAUGCUGGAUGCUCCAACUUGACGCAUGUCUUGUUGGGAAAGUGUCUAGUGGCAUGGGAUGGGGUCGCGUCCUAUCAGCUUGUAGGCGGGGUAAUGGGCCCACCUAGGCUUCGACGGGUAGCCGGCCUGAGAGGGCGGACGGCCACAUUGGGACUGAGAUACGGCCCAGACUCCUACGGGAGGCAGCAGGC